rfam:Triticum aestivum genome assembly, contig: Triticum_aestivum_CS42_TGACv1_scaffold_159471_2DL
GAAAUACUCCCUCUGACCGAAAAUGCGUGUCGGAGAAAUGGAUAUAUCUAGACGUAUUUUAGUUUUAGAUAUAUCCUUUUUAUUAAUUUCUGCGACAAAUAAUUCCGGACGAAGGGAGUAAGUG